rnacentral:rRNA from 1 species
GACGAACGCUGGCGGCGUGCUUAACACAUGCAAGUCGAGCGGUAAGGCCCUUUCGGGGGUACGACGAGCGGCGAACGGGUGAGUAACACGUGGGUGACCUGCCCUCAGCUCUGGGAUAAGCCUGGGAAACCGGGUCUAAUACCGGAUAUGACUCCAUGACGCAUGUUGUGGGGUGGAAAGCCUUGUGCGGCUGAGGAUGGGCCCGCGGCCUAUCAGCUUGUUGGUGGGGUGAUGGCCUACCAAGGCGACGACGGGUAGCCGGCCUGAGAGGGCGACCGGCCACACUGGGACUGAGACACGGCCCAGACUCCUACGGGAGGCAGCAGUGGGGAAUCUUGCGCAAUGGGCGAAAGCCUGACGCAGCGACGCCGCGUGAGGGAUGAC